CCUACGGGAGGCAGCAGUGGGGAAUAUUGCACAAUGGGGGAUAGCCUGAUGCAGCCAAGCCGCGUGAGUGAAGAAGGUUUUCGGAUUGUAAAGCUCUGUUAGCAGGGAAGUGGAGGGACGGUACCUUCAGAGGAAGCCACGGCUAACUACGUGCCAGCAGCCGAGGUAAUACGUAGGUGCCGAGCGUUGUUCGGAAUAACUGGGUGUAAAGGAAGCGUAGGCGGUUAAACAAGUUAUAUGUUAAAUAUAUAGGCUUAACCUGUAGAAAGCAUAUAAAACUGUUUAACUAGAGUGCAGGAGAGGUAAGCGGAAUUCGUAGUGUAGCGGUGAAAUGCGUAGAGAUUAGGAAGAACACCAGUGGCGAAGGCGACUUACUGGACUGUAACUGACGCUGAUGCAUGAGAGCAUGGGGAGCAAACAGGAUUAGAUACCCUAGUAGUC
rnacentral:rRNA from 1 species